rnacentral:rRNA from 1 species
AAACCAGCACCUCAAGUGGUCAGGAGGAUUAUUGGGCCUAAAGCAUCCGUAGCCUGUUCUAUAAGUUUCCGGUUAUAUCCACUAGCUCAACUAGUGGGCUGCCGAAAAUACUGUAGAACUAGGGAGUGGGAGAGGUAGACGGUAUUCGGUAGGAAGGGGUAACAUCCUUUGAUCUAUUGAGGACCACCUGUGGCGAAGGCGGUCUACCAGAACACGUUCGACGGUGAGGGAUGAAAGCUGGGGGAGCAAACCGGAUUAGAAACCCCUGUAGUCC